AUUGAACGCUGGCGGCAUGCCUUACACAUGCAAGUCGAACGGUAACAGGUCUUCGGAUGCUGACGAGUGGCGAACGGGUGAGUAAUACAUCGGAACGUGCCUAGUAGUGGGGGAUAACUACUCGAAAGAGUGGCUAAUACCGCAUGAGAUCUAAGGAUGAAAGCAGGGGAUCGCAAGACCUUGUGCUACUAGAGCGGCCGAUGGCAGAUUAGGUAGUUGGUGGGAUAAAAGCUUACCAAGCCGACGAUCUGUAGCUGGUCUGAGAGGACGAUCAGCCACACUGGGACUGAGACACGGCCCAGACUCCUACGGGAGGCAGCAGUGGGGAAUUUUGGACAAUGGGCGCAAGCCUGAUCCAGCAAUGCCGCGUGCAGGAUGAAGGCCUUCGGGUUGUAAGCUGCUUUUGUACGGAACGAAAAGCCCUGGGUUAAUACCCUGGGGUCAUGACGGUACCGUAAGAAUAAGCACCGGCUAACUACGUGCCAGCCGCCGCCGCAGUAA
rnacentral:rRNA from 1 species